GAUGAACGCUAGCUACAGGCUUAACACAUGCAAGUCGAGGGGUAACGAGAGGGAAGCUUGCUUUCCUUGUCGACGACCGGCGCACGGGUGAGUAACGCGUAUCCAACCUGCCCCCAACUAGGGAAUAACCUUGCGAAAGUAAGACUAAUACCCUAUAAUUUCCUCAGAUGGCAUCUGACGAGGAAUAAAGAUUUAUCGGUUGUGGAUGGGGAUGCGUCUGAUUAGCUUGUUGGCGGGGUAACGGCCCACCAAGGCAACGAUCAGUAGGGGUUCUGAGAGGAAGGUCCCCCACAUUGGAACUGAGACACGGUCCAAACUCCUACGGGAGGCAGCAGUGAGGAAUAUUGGUCAAUGGGCGGAAGCCUGAACCAGCCAAGUAGCGUGCAGGAUGACGGCCCUAUGGGUUGUAAACUGCUUUUAUACAGGAGUAAAGUUAGCCACGUGUGGUUAUUUGUAGGUACUGUAUGAAUAAGGACCGGCUAAUUCCGUGCCAGCAGCCGCCGUAA
rnacentral:rRNA from 1 species